CUGGACCAGCGGGAAGGCUGCAGGAAAGAUCUUCCCAGAUAGAGGGAACUGCACGUGCAAAGGCAGGGAGAGUGCACGGGAGUUUUGCGCCUGAGCCCGGCAGGGGAGCAGGCACCCACUCAAAGCCCUUGCAGGGAUGUGGGCAAGACCAAAUAGGUGCCAGCCCCACCUCCAGUUAGACUUCAGGAAGAACUUCCAGGGAAAACAGAAAGGAUGACAGUUGGAUGGACUGGGGGAAGAUCAUUUGUAAACAGGGCAGCUUUGUCCCAGGCCUUCCAAAGUCCAGUCUGUAAGCUGAAUCUUCCAGAAGGCCCACCCUGUGGCCUUGAGGACUUUGGCUGCAGGGAUCUCUUUGCUGACCAGGUGACCUCUCCCCAUGGCUUUGUGGCUUGCAGGGUGAUAUGGGGGCUUCCUGGGUCCCCUCCUAUCUUGAAACUAACCAAGGUGGGAGGGAAGUGGGAGGCCACCCGGAUGGCCCUGCCUGCUGCCUGACCUUGGCAAGCCCUUGGCCCCUCAGUUUCCUCAUCUGCUGUUGGAUGUGAUCUCAGCACCGUAGGCCUGGAGGACAUUUGUGAAGGGGGGAGGUGCACAGGGUGGGAGCUCAUGACUGCUGGGCCUGGGCUGUGUGCCUGGCCUCCCUUUCCCCCAACCCCAUCAGGCCUGGGCUGGCCGCCCACUUCUAUUCACCAUGGAGCUGGGUUUCCCUGGGGACAAGUAGCCUGGCCCAGCCCACCCCCACCCCACCCCCUGACGCACGCCCCCAGUCUCUCCUGGCCUAACUCACACUAGGAGGAGGAGUAGAGGCUGGGCAGCCUCUUGGACCCCUGCCCCACCCCACGCCCUGCCUUCCAGGGCUGGUCCACCUCUGGGCUGGGCCUGGAAGAAGAAGCUGUGGCUGUCCCUGGAGGAGGUCCUGGAGGCAGCUCCUGCUGGGAUGGCAGCUCCAGCAUCUUUAAGGGCCACGGGGGGUCCAGCCCCACCGGGGGCACCCUAGGACUCCCACAGCCAUCUGUGCACCUGCCCCCCACUCAUCUGUGGGCCACUCACCAUGGGUGGGUGCUUCUCCAAGCCCAAGCCAGUGGAGCUCAAGAUCGAGGUGGUGCUGCCUGAGAAGGAGCGGGGCAAGGAGGAGCUGUCAGCCAGCGGGAAGGGCAGCCCUCGGGCCUACCAGGGCAAUGGCACAGCCCGCCACUUCCACACAGAGGAACGCCUGCCUGCCCCUCACCCGUACCCUGGUGCUCAGGACUGUGUGGAGGCCGCCAUCUGCCAUGUCAAGGACCUUGAGAAUGGCCAGAUGCGGGAAGUAGAGCUGGGCUGGGGGAAAGUGUUGCUGGUGAAGGACAACGGGGAGUUCCACGCUCUGGGCCACAAGUGUCCACACUAUGGUGCACCCCUGGUGAAAGGUGUGCUGUCCCGUGGCCGGGUGCGCUGCCCCUGGCAUGGUGCCUGCUUCAACAUCGGCACCGGUGACCUAGAGGAUUUCCCUGGCCUGGACAGUCUGCACAAAUUCCAGGUGAAGAUUGAGAAGGAGAAGGUGUACGUCCGAGCCAGUAAGCAGGCCUUGCAGCUACAGCGAAGAACCAAAGUGAUGGCCAAGUGUAUCUCUCCAAGUGCUGGCCACAGCAGCAGCACCAACGUGCUGAUUGUAGGCGCAGGUGCAGCUGGCUUGGUAUGUGCAGAGACACUGCGGCAGGAGGGGUUCUCAGACAGGAUCGUCUUGUGCACACUGGACCGGCACCUCCCCUAUGACCGGCCUAAGCUCAGCAAGUCCCUGGAUGCACAGCCUGAGCAGCUGGCCCUGAGGCCCAAGGAGUUCUUUCGAGCCUAUGGCAUCGAGGUGCUCACCGAGGCCCAGGUGGUUACGGUGGAUGUGAGAAACAAGAAGGUUGUGUUCAAGGAUGGCUUCAAGCUGGAGUACAGCAAGCUGCUUCUCGCACCAGGGAGCAGCCCUAAGAUGCUGAGCUGCAAAGGCAAAGAGGUGGAGAACGUGUUCACCAUCCGGACACCUGAAGAUGCCAAUCGUGUGGUGAGGCUAGCCCGGGGCCGCAACGCAGUGGUCGUGGGAGCUGGCUUCCUGGGGAUGGAGGUGGCUGCUUAUCUGACUGAAAAGGCCCACUCAGUGUCCGUGGUGGAGCUGGAGGAGACGCCCUUCAGGAGAUUUUUGGGGGAACGUGUCGGUCGUGCCCUCAUGAAAAUGUUUGAGAACAACCGGGUCAAGUUCUACAUGCAGACAGAGGUCUCUGAGCUGCGGGCCCAGGAGGGAAAGCUGAAGGAAGUCGUGCUGAAGAGCAGCAAGGUUGUGCGGGCUGACGUCUGUGUUGUGGGCAUUGGUGCGGUGCCUGCCACGGGCUUCCUGAGGCAGAGCAGCAUCAAUCUGGAUUCCCGAGGCUUCAUCCCUGUCAACAAGAUGAUGCAGACCAACGUUCCGGGCGUGUUUGCAGCUGGCGAUGCUGUCACUUUCCCCCUCGCCUGGAGAAACAAUCGGAAAGUGAACAUCCCACAUUGGCAGAUGGCUCAUGCCCAGGGGCGCGUGGCGGCCCAGAAUAUGCUGGCGCAGGAGGCGGAGAUCAGCACCGUGCCCUACCUGUGGACAGCCAUGUUUGGCAAGAGCCUGCGCUACGCUGGGUACGGAGAAGGCUUCGACGACGUCAUCAUCCAGGGGGAUCUGGAAGAGCUCAAGUUCGUGGCUUUUUACACCAAGUGAGAGCAACUGGGUGGAACGUGGCAGCCGCCGAAGCAGCGGGAGCUCGGUCGGGAAGGGGAGCUUCCAGAGGGGAAGGAGCUCUGCUCCAGAGGAGGGGACUUACCUGAAAGAUGGACCAAGUGGCCAAGGGAGGCAGCUAGGCAGGAGACCCACCAAGGGAAUGUGAGGAGGUGGGGCAGUAAUAACUCCAGCAGCCACGCACUGAGACAGGACAUUUUAUCUUCAGGACAGCAAUUUGAGGACCGGCGACAUGUCCUGGCUCACAGGGAAAGGAUCCUGAGCUCGCAUGCAGCAGACUUGGGCAGGCACGCUGGGGCACCAGGGACAGAGGCCAAG